rnacentral:rRNA from 1 species
UACGUAGGGAGCAAGCGUUGUCCGGAAUCAUUGGGCGUAAAGCGCGUGUAGGCGGCUUGAUAAGUCUGCUCUGAAAGCCCGGGGCUCAACCCUGGGAGGCGGGUGGAUACUGUCGAGCUCGAGUCCGGAAGAGGCGAGUGGAAUUCCUGGUGUAGCGGUGAAAUGCGCAGAUAUCAGGAGGAACACCGGUGGCGAAGGCGGGUCUCUGGGCAGUAACUGACGCUGAGGAGCGAAAGCGUGGGGAGCGAACAGG